CCUACGGGUGGCAGCAGUCGAGAAUCAUUCACAAUGGGGGAAACCCUGAUGGUGCGACGCCGCGUGGGGGAAUGAAGGUCUUCGGAUUGUAAACCCCUGUCAUGUGGGAGCAAAUUAAAAAGAUAGUACCACAAGAGGAAGAGACGGCUAACUCUGUGCCAGCAGCCGCGGUAAUACAGAGGUCUCAAGCGUUGUUCGGAAUCACUGGGCGUAAAGCGUGCGUAGGCUGUUUCGUAAGUCGUGUGUGAAAGGCGCGGGCUCAACCCGCGGACGGCACAUGAUACUGCGAGACUAGAGUAAUGGAGGGGGAACCGGAAUUCUCGGUGUAGCAGUGAAAUGCGUAGAUAUCGAGAGGAACACUCGUGGCGAAGGCAGCAUACCGGCGCCCGACUGACGCUGAGGCACGAAAGCGUGGGUAUCAAACAGGAUUAGAUACCCCUGUAGUC
rnacentral:rRNA from 1 species